rnacentral:rRNA from 1 species
GAUGAACGCUGGCGGCGUGCCUAAUACAUGCCAGUCGAGCGAACAGACGAGGAGCUUGCUCCUCUGACGUUAGCGGCGGACGGGUGAGUAACACGUGGAUAACCUACCUAUAAGACUGGGAUAACUUCGGGAAACCGGAGCUAAUACCGGAUAAUAUAUUGAACCGCAUGGUUCAAUAGUGAAAGACGGUUUUGCUGUCACUUAUAGAUGGAUCCGCGCCGCAUUAGCCAGUUGGUAAGGUAACGGCUUACCAAGGCAACGAUGCGUAGCCGACCUGAGAGGGUGAUCGGCCACACUGGAACUGAGACACGGUCCAGACUCCUACGGGAGGCAGCAGUAGGGAAUCUUCCGCAAUGGGCGAAAGCCUGACGGAGCAACGCCGCGUGAGUGAUGAAGGUCUUCGGAUCGUAAAACUCUGUUAUUAGGGAAGAACAAAUGUGUAAGUAACUAUGCACGUCUUGACGGUACCUAAUCAGAAAGCCACGGCUAACUACGUG